GAUGAACGCUGGCGGCGUGCUUAACACAUGCAAGUCGAACGGAAAGGCCGAAGCUUGCUUCGGUACUCGAGUGGCGAACGGGUGAGUAACACGUGGGUUAUCUGCCCUGUACUUCGGGAUAAGCUUGGGAAACUGGGUCUAAUACCGGAUAUGACGAUCUCUUGGAUGGGGUUGUGGAAAGCUUUUGCGGUAUGGGAUGAGCUCGCGGCCUAUCAGCUUGUUGGUGGGGUAAUGGCCUACCAAGGCGUCGACGGGUAGCCGGCCUGAGAGGGUGUACGGCCACAUUGGGACUGAGAUACGGCCCAGACUCCUACGGGAGGCAGCAGUGGGGAAUAUUGCACAAUGGGCGCAAGCCUGAUGCAGCGACGCCGCGUGGGGGAUGACGGCCUUCGGGUUGUAAACUCCUUUCGCAAUCGACGAAGCCUUUUGGUGACGGUAGGUUGAGAAGAAGCACCGGCUAACUACGUG
rnacentral:rRNA from 1 species